rnacentral:rRNA from 1 species
UGACGCUGGCGGAUGCUUUCACAUGCAAGUCGAACGAUGAACCUUAGCUUGCUAGGGGGAUUAGUGGCGAACGGGUGAGUAAUAUAUCGGAACGUACCUUGUAAUGGGGGAUAACUAGUCGAAAGAUUAGCUAAUACCGCAUACGCCCUGAGGGGGAAAGUAGGGGAUCUUCGGACCUUACGUUAUAAGAGCGGCCGAUAUCUGAUUAGCUAGUUGGUGGGGUAAUGGCCUACCAAGGCGACGAUCAGUAGCUGGUCUGAGAGGACGACCAGCCACACUGGAACUGAGACACGGUCCAGACUCCUACGGGAGGCAGCAGUGGGGAAUUUUGGACAAUGGGCGCAAGCCUGAUCCAGCCAUGCCGCGUGCGGGAAGAAGGCCUUCGGGUUGUAAACCGCUUUUGUCAGGGAAGAAACGCUCUGGGAUAAUACCCUGGGGUAAUGACGGUACCUGAAGAAUAAGCACCGGCUAACUACGUGCCAGCAGCCGCGGUAAUACGUAGGGUGCAAGCGUUAAUCGGAAUUACUGGGCGUAAAGCGUGCGCAGGCGGUUAUGCAAGACAGAUGUGAAAUCCCCGGGCUUAACCUGGGAACUGCAUUUGUGACUGCAUAGCUAGAGUACGGUAGAGGGGGAUGGAAUUCCGCGUGUAGCAGUGAAAUGCGUAGAUAUGCGGAGGAACACCGAUGGCGAAGGCAAUCCCCUGGACCUGUACUGACGCUCAUGCACGAAAGCGUGGGGAGCAAACAGGAUUAGAUACCCUGGUAGUCCACGCCCUAAACGAUGUCAACUGGUUGUUGGGAGGGUUUCUUCUCAGUAACGUAGCUAACGCGUGAAGUUGACCGCCUGGGGAGUACGGCCGCA